rnacentral:rRNA from 1 species
ACGAACGCUGGCGGCGUGCUUAACACAUGCAAGUCGAACGGUGAAGCCCUUCGGGGUGGCUCAGUGGCGAACGGGUGAGUAACACGUGAGCAACCUGCCCCUGGCUCUGGGACAACCACUGGAAACGGUGGCUAAUACCGGAUACGACCCGCCUCGGCAUCGAGUGUGGGUGGAAAGUUUUUCGGCUGGGGAUGGGCUCGCGGCCUAUCAGCUUGUUGGUGAGGUGAAGGCUCACCAAGGCGACGACGGGUAGCCGGCCUGAGAGGGCGACCGGCCACACUGGGACUGAGACACGGCCCAGACUCCUACGGGAGGCAGCAGUGGGGAAUAUUGCACAAUGGGCGAAAGCCUGAUGCAGCGACGCCGCGUGAGGGAUGACGGCCUUCGGGUUGUAAACCUCUUUCAGCUCCGAAGAAGCGAAAGUGACGGUAGGAGCAGAAGAAGCACCGGCUAACUACGUG